AGUAUCGGUUUACCAGUUUAGGGUGUAGCUGGUGAUAAGUGAUUUUUAAAUCAUCAAUUGUAUCACGAAAUAAAAGUCUUCAUUAUAAACGCUUUUGCGGUAGAAAUUGCC